rnacentral:rRNA from 1 species
GUAGGUGGCAAGCGUUGUCCGGAAUUAUUGGGCGUAAAGCGCGCGCAGGUGGGUUCUUUAAGUCUGAUGUGAAAGCCCCCGGGCUCAACCGGGGAGGGUCAUUGGAAACUGGGGAACUUGAGUGCAGGAGAGGAAAGUGGAAUUCCACGUGUAGCGGUGAAAUGCGUAGAUAUGUGGAGGAACACCAGUGGCGAAGGCGACUUUCUGGCCUGUAACUGACACUGAGGCGCGAAAGCGUGGGGAGCAAACAGGAUUAGAUACCCUGGUAGUCCACGCCGUAAACGAUGAGUGCUAAGUGUUGGGGGGUUUCCGCCCCUCAGUGCUGCAACUAACGCAUUAAGCACUCCGCCUGGGGAGUACGGCCGCAAAGACUG